ensembl:ncRNA T01H3.8 ncRNA
CUAUUUAACACUUUCAUAUGCCAUCUUCAUUCAAAUUUGCAUAUAGUGAGUAUGAUCCUCUUCCCGUACGUCGUCCUUCUGUCGGGUCGCUUCUCAUCUCGCAUGUUCAUCCGACCAUAAUCUUCCUGCGACUCUAUAAAUCAUACACUCUCUUAUAACCUCUUCCAUCCUUCUUCUUCAUCGCUCAUUUUCACACCGUUUUGACA